rnacentral:rRNA from 1 species
GCAUCGGAAACUGGGGAACUUGAGUGCAGAAGAGGACAGUUGGAACUCCAUGUGUAGCGGUGGAAUGCGUAGAUAUAUGGAAGAACACCAGUGGCGAAGGCGGCUGUCUAGUCUGCAACUGACGCUGAGGCUCGAAAGCAUGGGUAGCGAACAGGAUUAGAUACCCUGGUAGUCCAUGCCGUAAACGAUGAGUGCUAGGUGUUGGAGGGUUUCCGCCCUUCAGUGCCGCAGCUAACGCAUUAAGCACUCCGCCUGGGGAGUACGACCGCAAGGUUGAAACUCAAAGGAAUUGACGGGGGCCCGCACAAGCGGUGGAGCAUGUGGUUUAAUUCGAAGCUACGCGAAGAACCUUACCAGGUCUUGACAUCUUCUGCCAAUCUUAGAGAUAAGACGUUCCCUUCGGGGACAGAAUGACAGGUGGUGCAUGGUUGUCGUCAGCUCGUGUCGUGAGAUGUUGGGUUAAGUCCCGCAACGAGCGCAACCCUUAUUAUCAGUUGCCAGCAUUCAGUUGGGCACUCUGGUGAGACUGCCGGUGACAAACCGGAGGAAGGUGGGGAUGACGUCAAAUCAUCAUGCCCCUUAUGACCUGGGCUACACACGUGCUACAAUGGACGGUACAACGAGUCGCAAAGUCGCGAGGCUAAGCUAAUCUCUUAAAGCCGUUCUCAGUUCGGAUUGCAGGCUGCAACUCGCCUACAUGAAGUUGGAAUCGCUAGUAAUCGCGGAUCAGCAUGCCGCGGUGAAUACGUUCCCGGGCCUUGUACACACCGCCCGUCACACCAUGAGAGUUUGUAACACCCAAAGCCGGUGAGGUAACCUUUUGGAGCCAGCCGUCUAAGGUGGGACAGAUGAUUAGGGUGAAGUCGUAA